UGUGAGAGUGAUGAGUUGCACUAAUCAGUUGGGGUGUCUGGUGCAGUGGCACCGACGCCCCAAUCUGACCCAACCUGAGGACACAGACUGUGCACAGGGGCCAUCUGACUCAAC